CGUCAGGAUGAACGCUGGCGGCGUGCUUAACACAUGCAAGUCGAACGGAGCACCCCUCGAAGGAGUUUUCGGACGAACGGAAGGGAAGUGCGUUAGUGGCGGACGGGUGAGUAACGCGUGAGUAACCUGCCUUGGAGUGGGGAAUAACAGAAUGGAAACAUCUGCUAAUACCGCAUGAAGCAGUUGGGCCGCAUGGCUCUGACUGCCAAAGAUUUAUCGCUCUGAGAUGGACUCGCGUCUGAUUAGCUAGUUGGCGGGGCAACGGCCCACCAAGGCGACGAUCAGUAGCCGGACUGAGAGGUCGGCCGGCCACAUUGGGACUGAGACACGGCCCAGACUCCUACGGGAGGCAGCAGUGGGGAAUAUUGGGCAAUGGGCGCAAGCCUGACCCAGCAACGCCGCGUGAAGGAAGAAGGCUUUCGGGUUGUAAACUUCUUUUCUCAGGGACGAAGAAAGUGACGGUACCUGAGGAAUAAGCCACGGCUAACUACGUG
rnacentral:rRNA from 1 species